GCUAAAUAAGAGCGUAUGGGGAAUGCCUAGGCUCUCAGAGGCGAUGAAGGACGUGAUAAGCUGCGAAAAGCUGCGGGGAUUGGCACAUACAAACUGAUCCGUAGAUAUCCGAAUGGGGCAACCCAGCAUGUUGAAGACAUGUUAUCCGUAAGGAGGCGAACCCGGAGAACUGAAACAUCUAAGUACCCGGAGGAGAAGAAAACAAAAGUGAUUCCGAUAGUAGCGGCGAGCGAAAUUGGAUUAGCCCAAACCAGUAUUGUUACGGCAAUGCUGGGGUUGUAGGACUGCGAUAUUUGAACUAUAAUGAAUUAGAAUGCUUUGGAAAUAGCAACCAUAGAGGGUGAUAGUCCCGUAUAAGUAAAGAGUAGUAAGAUAGCAGUAUCCUGAGUAGUGCGGGACACGAGUAAUCCUGUGUGAAUCUGUGGGGACCAUCCCAUAAGGCUAAAUACUCCUGAGAGACCGAUAGUGAACUAGUACCGUGAGGGAAAGGUGAAAAGAACCCCGGGAGGGGAGUGAAAUAGAACAUGAAACCUUAAGCUUACAAGCAGUAGGAGGACGACUUAUCGUUUGACUGCGUGCCUGUUGAAGAAUGAGCCGGCGACUUAUAGUUAGUGGCAGGUUAAGGUAGAGAAUACUGGAGCCACAGUGAAAGCGAGCUUUAAUAGAGCGUGUGUCACUAGUUAUAGACCCGAACCCGGAUGAUCUAACCAUGGCCAGGAUGAAGCCUAGGUAAUACUAUGUGGAGGUCCGAACCGACUGAUGUUGAAAAAUCAGCGGAUGAGUUGUGGUUAGGGGUGAAAUACCAAUCGAAUUCGGAGCUAGCUGGUUCUCCCCGAAAUGUGUUUAGGCGCAGCGGUUAAUAUUAUAGCUUAGAGGUAAAGCACUGUUUCGGUGCGGGCUGGUAAUUCGGUACCAAAUCGAGGCAAACUCUGAAUACUAAGUGAACAGUUAACCAGUAAGACUGUGGGGGAUAAGCUUCAUAGUCAAGAGGGAAACAGCCCAGAUCACCAGUUAAGGCCCCUAAAUAAUUAUUAAGUGGUAAAGGAGGUGGGAAGACUCAGACAGCCAGGAGGUUUGCUUAGAAGCAGCAAUCCUUUAAAGAGUGCGUAAUAGCUCACUGGUCUAGUAAUCCUGCGCCGAAAAUGAACGGGACUUAAAUAAUUUGCCGAAGCUGUGAGAUAUUUAUUACAAGUAAAUAUCGGUAGGGGAGCGUUCUGUUGUAGGUUGAAGCAUUAACGUAAGUGGGUGUGGACGAAGCAGAAGUGAGAAUGUCGGCUUGAGUAGCGAAAACAUUGGUGAGAAUCCAAUGCCCCGAAAACCUAAGGUUUCCCCCGGAAGGCUCGUCCGCGGGGGGUGAGUCAGGACCUAAGGCGAGGUCGAAAGACGUAGUCGAUGGACAAUAGGUUAAUAUUCCUAUACCGUUUUUUAUUGGCAACGAGGGACGAAGAAGGCUAAACUUAUCCAGAUAGUGGUCACUGGUCCAAGCAUUCAAGGUUAUGAGAAAUAGUGAAAAUAUUUUGAGCUGAGAUGUGAUGGGGAGAUACUUAGUAUUGAAGUAGUUGAUGUCAUGCUUCCAAGAAAAGCUUGCACUGUCAUAAAUAGAAAACGCCUGUACCCUAAACCGACACAGGUAGGUAGGUAGAGUAUACUAAGGGGCGCGAGAUAACUCUCUCUAAGGAACUCGGCAAAAUAACCCCGUAACUUUGGGAGAAGGGGUACCCUAUGGGUUGCAAUAACAAGGUCCAAGCGACUGUUUAUCAAAAACACAGGUCUCCGCGAAGUCGAAAGACAAUGUAUGGGGGCUGACGCCUGCCCAGUGCCGGAAGGUUAAAGAAGCUGGUUAGCAGUAGCGAAGCUAGUGACUGAAGCCCCGGUGAACGGCGGCCGUAACUAUAACGGUCCUAAGGUAGCGA
rnacentral:rRNA from 14 species